CAAGUCGAACGGGGUCCAUGCUGUAGCAAUACAGCGGAAGACCUAGUGGCGAACGGGUGAGUAUCACGUGAGAAACCAACCCCGGUCUCUGGGAUAACAGGUGGAAACACCUGCUAAUACCGGAUGCCGUCGUUUCCUCGCAUGGGGAGAUGACGAAAGGGCUACCGGAUCGGGACGGUCUCGCGGCCUAUCAGCUUGUUGGGGAGGUAACGGCUCACCAAGGCUUCGACGGGUAGCUGGUCUGAGAGGAUGAUCAGCCACACUGGGACUGAGACACGGCCCAGACUCCUACGGGAGGCAGCAGUGGGGAAUCUUGCGCAAUGGGCGAAAGCCUGACGCAGCAACGCCGCGUGCGGGAUGAAGGCCUUCGGGUUGUAAACCGCUUUUACCAGGAAGGAAAAUGACAGUACCUGGAGAAUAAGGUGCGGCCAACUACGUGCCAGCAGCCGCGGUGACACGUAGGCACCAAGCGUUGUCCGGAUUUAUUGGGCGUAAAGAGCUCGUAGGCGGUUCAGUAAGUCGGGUGUGAAAACUCUGGGCUCAACUCAGAGACGCCACCCGAUACUGCUGUGACUUGAGUCCGGUAGGGGAGUGGGGAAUUCCUGGUGUAGCGGUGAAAUGCGCAGAUAUCAGGAGGAACACCAAUGGCGAAGGCACCACUCUGGGCCGAGACUGACGCUGAGGAGCGAAAGCGUGGGUAGCAAACAGGACUAGAUACCCUGGUAGUCCACGCCGUAAACGGUGGGCACUAGGUGUGGGUUCCAACCAACGGAAUCCGCGCCGGCGCUAACGCAUUAAGUGCCCCGCCUGGGGAGUACGGCCGCAAGGUUAAAACUCAAAGGAAUUGACGG
rnacentral:rRNA from 1 species